rnacentral:rRNA from 2 species
UUAUAUGGUCAAGAAGAGAAGCGCAAACGGUGGAUGCCUUGGCAGUAAGAGGCGAAGAAGGACGUGGAAUCCUGCGAAAAGCUAUGGGGAGCUGGAAACGAGCGUUGAGCCAUAGAUGUCCGAAUGGGGGAACCCGGCUGCAGCGAUGCGGUCAUUUGCAUUUGAAUACAUAGGAUGCAAAGGCGAACUCGGGGAACUGAAACAUCUAAGUACCCGAAGGAAAAGAAAUCAAGAGAGAUUCUCCAAGUAGCGGCGAGCGAACGGGGAGGAGCCUGGCGUGAUUUAUUAUUGAACUGAGUAGAACAAUUUGGGAAAGUUGGCCGUAGAGGGUGAAAGCCCCGUAUACGAAGGUUUGAUGAGGAACUAGGCACGCGAACAAGUAGGCCGGGACACGUGAAAUCCUGGUUGAAGAUGGGUGGACCAUCAUCCAAGGCUAAAUACUACUUACUGACCGAUAGUGAACCAGUACCGUGAGGGAAAGGUGAAAAGAACCCCGGAGAGGGGAGUGAAAUAGAAUCUGAAACCGUUUGCGUACAAGCAGUGGGAGCAUGGUUUAGGCUGUGUGACUGCGUACCUUUUGUAUAAUGGGUCAGCGAGUUACUUUCAGUGGCGAGGUUAACUGAAUAAGGGAGCCGUAGAGAAAUCGAGUCUGAAUAGGGCGAUAGUCGCUGGGAGUAGACCCGAAACCGGGCGAUCUAGCCAUGUGCAGGAUGAAGGUUGGGUAACACCAACUGGAGGUCCGAACCGGGUAAUGUUGAAAAAUUAUCGGAUGACGUGUGGCUAGGAGUGAAAGGCUAAUCAAGCCCGGAGAUAGCUGGUUCUCCCCGAAAGCUAUUUAGGUAGCGCCUCGUGAAUGAUUACUGGGGGUAGAGCACUGUUUCGGCUAGGGGGCUGUCAUGGCUUACCAAACCGAUGCAAACUCCGAAUACCGGCUAAUUGGAUCACGGGAGACACACGGCGGGUGCUAACGUCCGUCGUGGAGAGGGAAACAACCCAGACCGCCAGCUAAGGUCCCCAAGUACUAGUUAAGUGGGAAACGAUGUGGGAAGGCAUAGACAGCCAGGAGGUUGGCUUAGAAGCAGCCACCCUUUAAAGAAAGCGUAAUAGCUCACUGGUCGAGUCGGCCUGCGCGGAAGAUGUAACGGGGCUAAAACUAGUCACCGAAGCUGCGGAUGUGCGCGAAGGCGCACGUGGUAGGGGAGCGUUCUGUAGGCUGAUGAAGGUGCAUUGAGAAGUGUGCUGGAGGUAUCAGAAGUGCGAAUGCUGACAUGAGUAACGAUAAUGUGGGUGAAAAGCCCACACGCCGGAAGUCCCAGGUUUCCUGCACGACGUUAAUCGGAGCAGGGUGAGUCGGCCCCUAAGGCGAGGCU